rnacentral:hammerhead_ribozyme from 1 species
AUCCAGCUGACAAGUCUCAAUGAGGACGAAACGCGCGUCAGACUGGAU